rnacentral:lncRNA from 1 species
AAAAGACUUUAUGAUUGAAUCCAUAUUGAUACCAUAUAUUAUUAAAACUACAAAACUGUAUAUUACAAUUGCAAAUUAGAAAAAAAUCUUAUGCUAACUACUGUAAACCAACAUAUUUUCGCGGGCAAAUAAUUUUCCUAACUUUGGCGAGUAGAAUAAUAUCUCGAAUACAAAUCGUCGCGAAUAUGUAAAACUAAUGAUUUCUUACUUAACUACAUAAAGUACAUUCGAGAAUUGUAAAAUUGAAUUGCUGCAAAAUGGAAUAGACAGGGCUAAACUCGAAAA